CUUGCUUCUCUUGAGAGCGGCGGACGGGUGAGUAAUGCCUAGGAAUCUGCCUGGUAGUGGGGGAUAACGUCCGGAAACGGACGCUAAUACCGCAUACGUCCUACGGGAGAAAGCAGGGGACCUUCGGGCCUUGCGCUAUCAGAUGAGCCUAGGUCGGAUUAGCUAGUUGGUGGGGUAAUGGCUCACCAAGGCGACGAUCCGUAACUGGUCUGAGAGGAUGAUCAGUCACACUGGAACUGAGACACGGUCCAGACUCCUACGGGAGGCAGCAGUGGGGAAUAUUGGACAAUGGGCGAAAGCCUGAUCCAGCCAUGCCGCGUGUGUGAAGAAGGUCUUCGGAUUGUAAAGCACUUUAAGUUGGGAGGAAGGGCAGUAAAUUAAUACUUUGCUGUUUUGACGUUACCGACAGAAUAAGCACCGGCUAACUCUGUGCCAGCAGCCGCGGUAAUACAGAGGGUGCAAGCGUUAAUCGGAAUUACUGGGCGUAAAGCGCGCGUAGGUGGUUCGUUAAGUUGGAUGUGAAAUCCCCGGGCUCAACCUGGGAACUGCAUUCAAAACUGACGAGCUAGAGUAUGGUAGAGGGUGGGUGGAAUUUCCUGUGUAGCGGUGAAAUGCGUAGAUAUAGGAAGGAACACCAGUGGCGAA
rnacentral:rRNA from 1 species